AUUGAACGCUGGCGGCAUGCUUUACACAUGCAAGUCGAACGGCAGCGCGGGCUUCGGCCUGGCGGCGAGUGGCGAACGGGUGAGUAAUGCAUCGGAACGUGCCCAGUAGUGGGGGAUAGCCCGGCGAAAGCCGGAUUAAUACCGCAUACGACCUGAGGGUGAAAGCGGGGGACCGAAAGGCCUCGAGCUAUUGGAGCGGCCGAUGUCGGAUUAGCUAGUUGGUGGGGUAAAGGCUUACCAAGGCGACGAUCCGUAGCUGGUCUGAGAGGACGACCAGCCACACUGGGACUGAGACACGGCCCAGACUCCUACGGGAGGCAGCAGUGGGGAAUUUUGGACAAUGGGGGCAACCCUGAUCCAGCCAUGCCGCGUGCGGGAAGAAGGCCUUCGGGUUGUAAACCGCUUUUGUUCGGGAAGAAAUCCUCUGGGCUAAUACCCCGGGGGGAUGACGGUACCGGAAGAAUAAGCACCGGCUAACUACGUG
rnacentral:rRNA from 1 species